rnacentral:rRNA from 1 species
AGGGUUUGAUCAUGGCUCAGAUUGAGCGCUGGCGGCAGGCCUAACACAUGCAAGUCGAGCGGUAGAGAGAAGCUUGCUUCUCUUGAGAGCGGCGGACGGGUGAGUAAUGCCUAGGAAUCUGCCUGGUAGUGGGGGAUAACGUUCGGAAACGGACGCUAAUACCGCAUACGUCCUACGGGAGAAAGCAGGGGACCUUCGGGCCUUGCGCUAUCAGAUGAGCCUAGGUCGGAUUAGCUAGUUGGUGAGGUAAUGGCUCACCAAGGCGACGAUCCGUAACUGGUCUGAGAGGAUGAUCAGUCACACUGGAACUGAGACACGGUCCAGACUCCUACGGGAGGCAGCAGUGGGGAAUAUUGGACAAUGGGCGAAAGCCUGAUCCAGCCAUGCCGCGUGUGUGAAGAAGGUCUUCGGAUUGUAAAGCACUUUAAGUUGGGAGGAAGGGUUGUAGAUUAAUACUCUGCAAUUUUGACGUUACCGACAGAAUAAGCACCGGCUAACUCUGUGCCAGCAGCCGCGGUAAUACAGAGGGUGCAAGCGUUAAUCGGAAUUACUGGGCGUAAAGCGCGCGUAGGUGGUUUGUUAAGUUGGAUGUGAAAUCCCCGGGCUCAACCUGGGAACUGCAUUCCAAACUGACUGACUAGAGUAUGGUAGAGGGUGGUGGAUUUCCCUGUGUAGCCGUGAAAUGCGUAGAUAUAGGAAGGAACACCAGUGGCGAAGGCGACCACCUUGACUAAUACUGACACUGGAGUGCGAAAGCGUGGGGGAGCAACCAGGAUUAGAUAACCUGGUAGUCCACGGCGGUAAACAUGUCCAACUAAGCGGUGUGGACGCCCUGACCUUAAGUGCGCGCCUAACGCAAUAAAUUUGAACCGCGUGGGGAGAUACGCGCCCAGGUUAAAWCUCAUGUAUAUGGACGUGGGGUCGCCAUACGUGAAGCU